UUUUGUAUUUUUGGUUGGGUUUUUUGUUUGUUUAUUUGUUUUUGCUCAAACUUAGUUAAAACCAAAACUUAUUUAAGGUUUUUCUUUUAAUGGGGAAUACUGAGAUUCCAAAAAGUUAAGGAAUUUAUUUAAAGUCACACAGGAAAGUAGCAGCAGAAUUUAGACUAGAACCAAGGCUUUCAGUCUUCUUAAUACACUUCUAUUUAUUUGAAUUUGGGUCUCUGUACCUUGAACAAUGUCUAAAGUAGGACUUUUAGCCAUCAUUUUUAUACAUCUUCCUUAUUCUUAGAGCACAGUGGAGUAGAUCAUCAAUAGAAGAACAUGAAAAUAGAUAGAAGCACUAUGCCAAGGACCAGUAUAGGAAUGACAAAAGAUGUUCUAGAGUAGACUGAAAGACCUGACUUAGGAUGUGUAGACUUACUUUAGAGAACACUUACCAUCAUAGCAUCCUCCACGAAACAUUUUUAGUAAGACCGUGAUAUCUGCUUCAUAUUGGGGAUGACUUUUCUUUUAUUGCUGCCUGAUUUUCCUUAAGCAUUGCCAUCUUUCAUAGUAUGGAGGUGACUGAGAAAGAAUGUAGUCAGAACAGACCAACCUUUCUUCAUUCACUUCCUAAAUGAGUCCAUUAAAAUUAUGACAUUAUCACCAAUCAUUAACAUUGUCAGCAUCAUAAUCCUCAUCAUCAACAUUUAACACUCAUUGAGGGUUUACUGUGUACCAGGCAAUGUGCUAAGCUUCAUAUGCACUAUCUCAUUUAAUCCUCACAACAUUCCUAUGAGGCUAGUAUACUUAUUAAAUUCAUUUUACAGGUAAGAAAACUGCUACUCAGAGAACUUUAAUGCUUUUUCCCCCCACAGUCACACAGCUAGUUUGUAAUAGCACCGGGAUUUAAACUGAGGUUGGCUCACAACAGAAUUUAUGACCAUAAACACAGUAACAAAUGUUGGGCAGUUAGAUCAGAAAGCAAAGCAAUUUCAAAGAGAAGGUGAAUGUCUUAGGUUUAGUUUAAAACUAUAUUGUGUUUAAAGUCAGUGAAUUCAGGGAACAAUAAAAAAAUAAAAAAUAUCAGAGAGAAGGACAAGGUAAGAAGCUCUGUGUUGCAGAAGAAUGUAUAUUUGCAACCACAAGAGUAAAAUCCCAGAACAAGACUUUAGUUUGAAAAAAUGUGACACUAGAAGUCUUCUUUUCUUGGUUUUCCUGAGAGUAGGCUCUGCUCUUCAUAAUAGUUUUAAUUGGGAAAUGUUCAUGCAAGUAGAGUACAUGUCAGGUGUAAAAUAACAAAUGGUUUAGGUGUCUCCUGCUUGGAAAGAAGUAUGAGAAGUUCAGAAGUUUCUGUUCUGAGAGACGGAGAUCACAACAGGAUGGAUUUGCAGUAUGAAUAAAAGGAACUUUCUUGAGACGGCAUGCGCUGGAACUUUGGAACUUUGGCCGAGACAGAAAAUAACAGCAUUACCUAAUUAAGAGACCCAUGUGAACUAUAAGAAAAUAUGAGGCUCUACCGAUGUUGGACACAGAUGGACAUUGCAAGGCUGGAGGCAGAAGGGACUUGCUUCUUCUUGGCUUGUGGUUUUCACAUGGUGAUGAGUGUCUCAGUUUGUGGUGAACUCUGCGGGUUUCACU